rnacentral:rRNA from 1 species
UACGUAGGGUGCGAGCGUUGUCCGGAAUUAUUGGGCGUAAAGAGCUCGUAGGCGGUCCGUCGCGUCAAUGUGAAAACCCCGGGGCUCAACCCCGGGCUUGCAUUCGAUACGGGCGGACUAGAGUUCGGUAGGGGAGACUGGAAUUCCUGGUGUAGCGGUGAAAUGCGCAGAUAUCAGGAGGAACACCGGUGGCGAAGGCGGGUCUCUGGGCCGAUACUGACGCUGAGGAGCGAAAGCGUGGGGAGCAAACAGG